UUUUUUGUGCGUAUGCGGCGUGUUGUACACCAUAGCUGACUCGGAGCUGCUGAUUGGCCCUGCCUGACAAGUAUGGGAUGGUUUCACCGCCUGGGGAGCAGUUUACUGAAGCUGGAGGCAGACAUAUCAAUGAGCGCCCGGGAGACAGUUGGACGAGGGCAUGGGCACCUUUUGUGACGAGACAAUAAUCUAGAACCGGUUUUGGAUCCAUGUUGAAGAAACUGGUGGCGCGAAUUAGUUUGCCGACAGUCAUGACGAUGGGGAGAUACUAAUCUUGAGGGGUCCAUCCUGCAGCUGCAUAGGUCUUGCAAUAAUUAAGCAUUCAUCUCGUUCUCGGCGAAAAAGCUUGUUCAGAAUGCAUGGUCCAGUAAUAUUCGCAGAUCAUCGUCGUACGACCUUGCGAUAGGCUUGUCAGGGUUGCAGAUAUCAAAAUGGUUGGAAAGCAAGGGUUGCGAUGACUCAAUCGGAUAUUGAUUUCAUUUUAUGACAGGUUCUUUGGACUUUGGUCCAACAUUUUAUUGACUCGUUUGGGAUGUCUGCGCUGCUGCCAGAAGGACAUAACUCUCAAUAGAUUCUUCGAAAUCCUCAGCUUCCUCAGCUUUUGUUCUGGCUGGCUGGGGCACCCGGACCCUUCACUACCCGAAGCACAUAUACUUUUUUACCGCUGUUCUACAAAAGGAAGAUUUCCUAUCAGCACCAGCAGGAUCAACUAUCGAAUAAGCCCACACUCCUACAAUUCACACAACAUGACAGGAAAACCAAAACUGGACCAUUACCUUCACCCUUUCCGCUUAAAUUAAUGCUCCAGAUCUGCCAAAUAAUGGACAAAGUGGCAUACAUAUUCGGAGUGACAAUGGACAAGUGACAGGAUUUGUGUCAAGUGCUUGAGGACCUCAAAAGACAUGCUCGCGUCUGAUGGUCGUCCGGAGAACUGGAAAAGAUGGUGAUAUCGAUUGGCUGACCACCACGAAUUGCUCGAUUUGCCGUACGUACUAGUAUCUUUCUCCUUCACUCUUCUAACAGGAACCCACGGCGUCCACCAGCGCAUGGAUAACUGCAUUGGCCGGCACACCUCCGAUCAAUCGCAUCGACAACCAG
rnacentral:sRNA from 1 species